GGCUCAGGACGAACGCUGGCGGCGUGCCUAAUACAUGCAAGUUGAGCGCUGAAGGUUGGUACUUGUACCGACUGGAUGAGCAGCGAACGGGUGAGUAACGCGUGGGGAAUCUGCCUUUGAGCGGGGGACAACAUUUGGAAACGAAUGCUAAUACCGCAUAAAAACUUUAAACACAAGUUUUAAGUUUGAAAGAUGCAAUUGCAUCACUCAAAGAUGAUCCCGCGUUGUAUUAGCUAGUUGGUGAGGUAAAGGCUCACCAAGGCGAUGAUACAUAGCCGACCUGAGAGGGUGAUCGGCCACAUUGGGACUGAGACACGGCCCAAACUCCUACGGGAGGCAGCAGUAGGGAAUCUUCGGCAAUGGACGAAAGUCUGACCGAGCAACGCCGCGUGAGUGAAGAAGGUUUUCGGAUCGUAAAACUCUGUUGGUAGAGAAGAACGUUGGUGAGAGUGGAAAGCUCAUCAAGUGACGGUAACUACCCAGAAAGGGACGGCUAACUACGUGCCAGCAGCCGCGGUAAUACGUAGGUCCCGAGCGUUGUCCGGAUUUAUUGGGCGUAAAGCGAGCGCAGGUGGUUUAUUAAGUCUGGUGUAAAAGGCAGUGGCUCAACCAUUGUAUGCAUUGGAAACUGGUAGACUUGAGUGCAGGAGAGGAGAGUGGAAUUCCAUGUGUAGCGGUGAAAUGCGUAGAUAUAUGGAGGAACACCGGUGGCGAAAGCGGCUCUCUGGCCUGUAACUGACACUGAGGCUCGAAAGCGUGGGGAGCAAACAGGAUUAGAUAC
rnacentral:rRNA from 1 species